UACAGAGGUCUCAAGCGUUUGUUCGGAUUCAUUGGGCGUAAAGGGUGCGUAGGCGGCGCGGUAAGUCGGGUGUGAAAUCUUGGAGCUUAACUCCGAAACUGCAUUCGAUACUGCCGUGCUUGAGGACUGGAGAGGAGACUGGAAUUUACGGUGUAGCGGUGAAAUGCGUAGAUAUCGUAAGGAAGACCAGUGGCGAAGGCGGGUCUCUGGACAGUUCCUGACGCUGAGGAGCGAAAAGCGUGGGGGAGCGAAACAGG
rnacentral:rRNA from 1 species